rnacentral:piRNA from 1 species
UGGAGAGAUGGCUCAGUUGUUAAGAGCACU